UGAUAUUCUGGUUCCGGCCUCCACGUC
rnacentral:sRNA from 1 species